rnacentral:rRNA from 1 species
GACGAACGCUGGCGGCGUGCUUAACACAUGCAAGUCGAACGAAGUGGCGAACGGGUGAGUAACGCGUAAUCAACCUGCCCUUCAGAGGGGGACAACAGUUGGAAACGACUGCUAAUACCGCAUACGGAAGGAGGGGAUUGCGUCUGAUUAGCUAGUUGGUGGGGUAAAGGCCUACCAAGGCGACGAUCAGUAGCGGGUCUGAGAGGAUGACCAGUCACACUGGAACUGAGACACGGUCCAGACUCCUACGGGAGGCAGCAGUGGGGAAUAUUGGACAAUGGGCGAAAGCCUGAUCCAGCCAUGCCGCGUGUGUGAAGAAGGUCUUCGGAUUGUAAAGCACUUUAAGUUGGGAGGCGUUACCAACAGAAGAAGCACCGGCUAACUUCGUGCCAGCCGCCGCGGUAAUAC